AAAAAAAAAAAAAAAAAGAAUUGUAAUCAUCAUCUAAGCUUCAUAGACUUUGCACUCCUUAUCUGCUGGGUUUGUCUCGCAGAAGUCUUCCAGUGGGUCUCCACUUCCUGUUGGAGACACUCCUGGCCACUUGCUGGCUACCAAAUGAGCCAAAUCGACAACCCUUUGGCUGUACCCCCAUUCAUUGUCGUACCAGGCUACCACCUUGACCAUGUCAUCUCCCAUGACCAUGGUCAAUGAAGAGUCAAUGGUGGAAGAAACAUCGGUGCACUUGAAGUCAACGGAUACAAGUGGAACAUCACACACAUCCAAUAUGCCCUUCAGUGGCCCCUCUGCUGCCUUUCUGAAGGCUGCAUUGACAUCUUCUGCUGUAAUUCCUUGUUUCUCAACAUUCACAACAAGGUCUACAACUGACACGUUAGGUGUUGGGACACGGAGUGCAAUGCCAUUGAGCUUUCCUUUGAGCUGAGGCAGCACCAAAGACACAGCCUUGGCUGCACCAGUGCUUGUUGGCACAAUGUUCAAUGCUGCAGCCCUGGCUCUCCUCAAAUCACGGUGUGAAGCAUCCAAGAGCCUCUGAUCUCCAGUGUAGGAGUGAGUGGUUGUCAUUGUUCCCUUAACAAUGCCAAAUUCCUCAUCUAUGACCUUCACAAAAGGAGCCAGACAAUUUGUGGUACAUGAAGCAUUGCUUACAAUGUUGGAAACCUCAUGACCGUAAUCCUUUUCAUUAACACCAACAACAUAUGUUGGAAUGUCAGCUCCUUUUGCUGGAGCAGUGAUAAUGACUUUCUUGGCACCGGCUUGAAUAUGUUUCCCAGCACCAGGGCCAUCCACAAAAACUCCUGUUCCCUCAAUGACAAUGUCUAUUCCAAGCUCAGCCCAGGGAAGCUUAAGAGGGUCUCUGUUGGAGACAACCUUGAUGGGCUUGCCAUCAACACUAAUGGUGGCAUCGUCCACAAUUUUAACAUCUGCUUGGAAAGUGCCUAGCAUAGAAUCAUAUUUCAGCAAGUGGGAAGCGUUCCUGACACCACCACUGUCGUUGACGACAAUUACAUCAAGGGGGGAGUUCUUGCGGCCAUGCCAGCAUCUUAGGAAGUUCCUGCCAAUGCGUCCGAAUCCAUUGAUUGCCACCUUCAGUUUGGCUACUGUUUCUGCUUUAGCAGGAGUUGACGCUGCAACCUGAUUUUUGAAAUAAUUUCCAAUACAAAAUUAAUGUAGGAUAUAGGAAACCUGAGAUACAUAAAUAUCAAUUCCAAAUACCAUAUUCUUUUAAAUCUUUUGGCCCAAAAGGGCUGCAUACCUUAAUCUAUAAAAUUUAUAAGCAGAAAUAUUAUCUAUAAACCUAUGAUCAUUUAUGGCCAAGAUCACUUGAAAUUGGAUUAUUAAUCCUCAGACAUGUCUUCAUUUCAAUUCAAGAAACCUUUUCUUUAAUUAUUUAUUUAAGAGAUGGGAGAGUAGAAGCAAGGUUUUGAAUUCCUAGUUACUUGUACUAACACAAGGAAGGAAGGUCUACUGCUCAAACUUACUAAACAUGGUCAUCAAGAACAGUUUUAAUUUAAAAUGCUAAGAAGCCCUCAAAGAACUUGAUUUUGGUGUAUGUUAGGGAAAAGAAAUGAUUUUCAAUUCAUAUGGUGAACCAUCAUGGCUCUUAGCUGCAUCACAGAACAAUAGUUUUGAGGGAAAAAUAAAAAAAGAAAAGGAGCAUGCAAGUAUAGUUUAGAAAACCUUGGGAGUCAUUUGAGCAGCCACCAGGUCAAAGAAGGAGGCCUCACUAGCGUUCUUGGCGUAGGUCACACAAGAACUGGCUCGAAGCCCAGAAAACUCAGCCACUUCCAACCUCUUAGAGGAGCAUUGAGUGGGGAAAGAGUGGGUGCUCUUGGAGGGGAGCCUGGUGCUGGCUGGGAUUCUUGAAGGAGCUAGAGCUGCGUGGGUGGCCAUAGCUGCAACUAAAGCUCCCCUCCAAGAGCACCCACU
rnacentral:misc_RNA from 1 species